rnacentral:rRNA from 1 species
UACGAAUGGGGCUAGCGUUGCUCGGAAUCACUGGGCGUAAAGCGCACGUAGGCGGAUUGCUAAGUCAGGGGUGAAAUCCUGGAGCUCAACUCCAGAACUGCCUUUGAUACUGGCGACCUUGAGUCCGGGAGAGGUGAGUGGAACUGCGAGUGUAGAGGUGAAAUUCGUAGAUAUUCGCAAGAACACCAGUGGCGAAGGCGGCUCACUGGCCCGGUACUGACGCUGAGGUGCGAAAGCGUGGGGAGCAAACAGG